rnacentral:tRNA from 1 species
AGACAUAUAACUCAGGUGGCUAGAGUACCACGUUGACAUCGUGGAAGUCGCUGGUUCAAGUCCAGCUAUGUCUA